rnacentral:lncRNA from 1 species
UUGAAAUACUGAUUUCAAAUUCAGAAUUGAAAAGCAGUAAACAAUCGUUAAAGUAUAAGAGAAUUUGAAUGCAUACAUGAAAGAAAAUGUGAUGACAAGAACACAAUCUUAGAAUGACAAAAAAAACCCUAAAUAACCUCUAAAAUCAAAACCUAAAACAAAACUUUAAAUAACUCCUAAAAUCAAAACUCAAAACAGAAUCCUAAAUAACUCCUAAAAUCAAAAUCCAAAACAGAAUCCUAAAUAAUCUCUAAAAUCAAAAGCCAAAAUGCAAAAUCUACAUAACCCUAAAAUCUAACACCCAAAACAGAACCUUACAUAAUCUCUACGAUCAAAAUCCAAAACGAAAUUCUAAAUAACACCUAAAAUCAAAACUCAAAACAAAACCCUAAAUAACCUCUAAAAUCAAAACCCAAUUGGUAACCUAAAUAACCCCUUUAAAACCAAAAACCAAAAAAACUCCAAUAUCAAAAAACAAAUGAAAAAAAAACAACCUCAAAAUCGAAGAAAAAAUCGAUUCACACUCGCACUCCAAGUUGCACUCCCAAUCGAAAUUGAAAAUCGUACUCGUCACCAAAAUCUCACUUCAAUUCCAAAUCUCCUUAAAAUCGCAUUGCUCAAACUUCUGCUUCAUUCUCGCAAAAGCUACUCUUUCAACCCUACAUUUUUAAAAUCACCACCUUAUCAACUCAACCCCACAAUUCAAUAUUCUAUCAUUUCAUUGUCCACGUCAUGAGGUGUAAUUUUGCGCAUCC